GAUAUAUUCGUGCUGAUCCACUUGAACUUGCACACCACAAUCUUGAUGACGAUCACCACUUGACGUCAUCCUUCAUGGGUUGUAUGAGAUCUUCCUUUUGACGCAAGCCCAAUGGAAACACACCUAACCCCCACAUAGGAGUCUCACAAAGACCAUGGGUUAGUACACAAACACGUAAUGGACAAUGCUUACCAUACCAUGGGAUCACUUGAUCCCUCUCGGUACAUAUUAUACGCUUUGUGUGUUGAUCAUCUUGAUUUACUCUUUGUCUGAGAUCUUGAUCAACCUAGUGUUUCUAUGACCAUUCUUU
rnacentral:lncRNA from 1 species